UACGUAGGGUGCGAGCGUUGUCCGGAUUUAUUGGGCGUAAAGAGCUCGUAGGCGGUUUGUCGCGUCGGCCGUGAAAUCUCCACGCUUAACGUGGAGCGUGCGGUCGAUACGGGCAGACUUGAGUUCGGUAGGGGAGACUGGAAUUCCUGGUGUAGCGGUGAAAUGCGCAGAUAUCAGGAGGAACACCGGUGGCGAAGGCGAGUCUCUGGACAUUUCCUGACGCUGAGGCACGAAAGCCAGGGGAGCAAACGGG
rnacentral:rRNA from 1 species